AAGUCGUAACAAUGGUUUCCGUAGGUGAACCUGCGGAAGGAUCAUUAAAGAAUUAGGCUUCGGCGGCCAAGUUUUCACCCUUUGUAUACCGAAACCAUGUUCGCUUUGGCAGGCCCCAUGCAUUUCUACUGGGCCUGCCAGAGGUUAUAAACCCAGAAAUCUCUGCUGUCUGAGUACUAUACAAUAGUUAAAA
rnacentral:misc_RNA from 1 species